rnacentral:miRNA from 1 species
AAUUAACUAGAUAAUGUUAGGUGGGUUAUUAACCAAGAAUUUCUGGUUAAUAACCCACCUAACAUGAUCUGGUU